GAUGAACGCUGGCGGCGUGCUUAACACAUGCAAGUCGAACGAUGAUGCCCAGCUUGCUGGGUUGAUUAGUGGCCAACGGGUGAGUAACACGUGAGUAACCUGCCCUUGACUCUGGGUUAAGCCUCUUCAACUGGCUCUAAUACCGGAUACGUCCAUCUUGCGCCUGUCAUGGUGGUGGAAAGCUUUUGUUGUUUUGGAUGGACUCGCGGCCGAUCGGCUUGUUGGUGGGGUAAUGGCCUACCAAGGCGACGACGGGUAGCCGGCCUGAGCCGGUGACCGGCCACAAGGGGACUGAGACACGGCCCAGACUCGAACGGGAGGCAGAAGUGGGGAAUAUUGCACAAGGGGCGCAAGCCUGAUGCAGCGACGCCGCGUGAGGGAUAACGGCUUUCGGGUUGUAAACCUCUUUCAGUAGGGAAGAAGCGAAAGUGACGGUACCUGCAGAAGAAGCGCCGGCUAACUACGUG
rnacentral:rRNA from 1 species